CCGUCUUGGUACAAGGGAGAACAGAAAUUACAAGAAUAGAUAAAAAACACUAGUUACUGUACUCCAUUUUAAGUAUGUAGAUUGCUACGUCAUUAUAUAGGUGGUAGUGUUGGUUGGGCAGCAUGUGUGUGAGGGUCCUCCUGGUGGCUGUCUCUCCAGUCCUGCAUAUACAAGCCGGGAUGGGGUGGGGGGAAGGGACUUUUAUUAAAUGGGUCCCCACUGUGCCUUUUAGUACUGGUAUGCUUUCUCCAUGAAGUGUUGCCGUGUGUGCUGGGUCCCUAUGUGUGCUUCCCCAGGUAUGUGAUGGCUACGGGUCGUGGUGUGGGGCAUGAUUGGUCAUAUGGGGGGAGACAAGUGCGUGUCGGAGUGAUGUGUGUACGACCCCUAACCAAAGGGAGCCAUGGGGCGGGGAGUUUCAGUUGUUGGUGAUUGUGUUGGUGAGGAGUGCUUCAAUCUCCCAAGACUUAGUGGAGCUGCCAUUGAUGGGCAGGUGUGUCUGGUGUACUUGUGUUCAGUUGGGUGGUGUGUGCUUACACUGCAAGAAAGUAACGGCUGGUGAUUAUAACAAAAACUUAACAAAACCUAGAUCAGAACCGUAAGGUAAUUGCAAAUCUGAGGUACUUGGACAUGUAAGUCUCUUUUGGUGACAGUUCAGGUGUUGGCUCCUGGUUUCCCUCUCGUACGUGGGACAAAGGGAGCAAUUCGUGCUGGGUCCCAGUUGGGCGUCGUG